UACAGUGAGUCUCAAACUCCAUUGUUUCUUCCUUCUUAUGUAAAUCUCGUUCGUGCAAAACACCACUGAAGAACAGGCGAAUCUCAACAUAACACCGAUUGUGACGCAACAGUCGGGAUCAUUAAUAUGUACGCCCCCAAUAUUUGCAUAUGCCAGCCCAUGUUCAAGGCAUUACACAAGCCAGUAUUAACAUCUGGAGCUGCACAGCCGAAUCAUCAGAUGUUCUGCAGUCGUCGAUUGAGUCAGGCCUGCAAACCUGUUGGUAGAUAGGCAGUGGACAGUGGAAAUAUGCACUCGUCCCAGAUGAUGUCCCGCUGGCAGAGAGGCUUUACCAGGGUCUCUGAAGCCCAUCCAGGUCCAGCAGCUCCACCAGGCUCUCCCUGCUCAGCCGAAUGAAAGUGUACACAAAUAUGUUCUGUUCUAUGCAUCAUUAAUUGUGUAUCGUUAACAACAAAUGUUAUGUUGUUUUUCUGAUGGGAAACCCAAGGGCUGUUGUUUUAAAAAAAAAAAAAAAAAAAAAAAAAAAAAAAAAAAAAGUACAGAACAAUUCUAUUU